rnacentral:rRNA from 1 species
UUAUGGCUCAGGACGAACGCUGGCGGCGUGCUUCAUACAUGCAAGUCGAACGAGAAGCUGACUUCGGUCAGUGGAAAGUGGCGGACGGGUGAGUAAUAUGUAGGAAAUCUGCCCUAGAGAGGGGGACAACAGAGGGAAACUUCUGCUAAUACCCCAUAUGAGCUUAGUUGAAAUACUAAUCUUGAAAACUCCGGUGCUCUAGGAUGAGCCUGCAUCUGAUUAGCUAGUUGGCGGUGUAAUGGACCACCAAGGCGACGAUCAGUAGCUGGUUUGAGAGGAUGAUCAGCCACAAUGGGACUGAGACACGGCCCAUACUCCUACGGGAGGCAGCAGUAGGGAAUUUUGCGCAAUGGGCGAAAGCCUGAACCGCAGCAACGCCGCGUGAACGAUUAAGCCCUUCGGGGUGUAAAGUUCUGUCAGUGGGGACGAAACUUGACGGUACUCACAGAGGAAGCACCGGCUAACUCCGUGCCAGCCGCUGC